rnacentral:pre_miRNA from 1 species
UUUUAUGGAUGAGCAAAGGAAGUGGUCUCCUGAAAUGGAAUCUACUCCUGGUGAAGAUACUGUGAA